AUGUUUUACCAACCUUGUCCCCUCUUAAAAAAUGCACAUGCAUUUUCUUUACAAAAGCUUGUAAACAAACAUAGCAAAAGCAAAGCCUCUUUUCCUCCCUGCUUUUACAGACACAUGCUGAGUAGAUCCGCCUCUAUGCUCUUCCAGCUGCUGCCGCCAGAAAUUGUGAGGCAGUCAGAAGUUGGGGAAACAGCUUUGGUGAAGUCACCAAAUCCUCAGGAAUAGCCUGGAGAGACAGGGAAGAGAAGACCCGUUGUCACAGGAAGGUGGACAUGAUAGAAGCCAUUCCUGUGACCUGGCAAGGCAAGGUGUCAGAGCAC
rnacentral:lncRNA from 1 species